rnacentral:sRNA from 1 species
GCCCAGGCGUGUCGCCCCGAGAGGAGCCGCGCGAAGGUCACCCCGCGCCCGCCGCCCGCCGCCUCCGUGGGUCCGUUUGCCAGUCAGCCCGUGCGUCCGAGCCCCUCGCGCCCCGCCGCAGCCCCGGCCAACCGAGCGCCAUGAACCAGAUAGAGCCCGGCGUGCAGUACAACUACGUGUACGACGAGGAUGAGUACAUGAUCCAGGAGGAGGAGUGGGACCGCGACCUGCUCCUGGACCCAGCCUGGGAGAAGCAGCAGAGGAAGACCUUCACUGCCUGGUGUAACUCCCACCUAAGGAAAGCCGGCACCCAGAUUGAGAACAUCGAGGAAGACUUCAGGAAUGGCCUUAAGCUCAUGCUGCUUUUGGAAGUCAUCUCAGGGGAAAGGCUGCCCAAACCUGACCGGGGAAAAAUGCGGUUCCACAAAAUUGCUAAUGUCAACAAAGCUUUGGAUUACAUAGCCAGCAAAGGGGUGAAACUGGUGUCCAUCGGCGCUGAAGAAAUUGUUGAUGGCAACGUGAAAAUGACCCUGGGUAUGAUCUGGACCAUCAUCCUUCGCUUUGCUAUUCAGGAUAUUUCGGUUGAAGAAACAUCUGCCAAAGAAGGUCUGCUGCUUUGGUGUCAGAGGAAAACUGCUCCUUAUAGAAAUGUGAACAUUCAGAACUUCCAUACUAGCUGGAAAGAUGGCCUUGGACUCUGUGCCCUCAUCCACCGACACCGGCCUGACCUCAUUGACUACUCAAAGCUUAACAAGGAUGACCCCAUAGGAAAUAUUAACCUGGCCAUGGAAAUCGCUGAGAAGCACCUGGAUAUUCCUAAAAUGUUGGAUGCCGAAGAUUUAGUAUACACUGCCAGACCCGAUGAAAGAGCCAUAAUGACUUAUGUUUCCUGUUACUAUCAUGCUUUUGCUGGUGCACAGAAGACAUCGUGAACACCCCUAAACCCGAUGAAAGAGCCAUCAUGACGUACGUCUCUUGCUUCUACCACGCUUUUGCGGGCGCGGAGCAGGCCGAGACAGCGGCUAACAGGAUAUGUAAGGUUCUUGCUGUGAAUCAAGAGAAUGAGAGGCUGAUGGAAGAAUAUGAGAGGCUAGCGAGUGAGCUUUUGGAAUGGAUUCGUCGCACGAUCCCCUGGCUGGAGAACCGGACUCCCGAGAAGACCAUGCAAGCCAUGCAGAAGAAGCUGGAGGACUUCCGGGAUUACCGCCGGAAGCACAAGCCACCCAAGGUGCAGGAGAAAUGCCAGCUGGAGAUCAACUUCAACACGCUGCAGACCAAGCUGCGGAUCAGCAACCGGCCUGCCUUCAUGCCCUCCGAGGGCAAGAUGGUGUCGGAUAUUGCUGGUGCCUGGCAGAGGCUGGAGCAGGCUGAGAAGGGUUACGAGGAGUGGUUGCUCAAUGAGAUUCGGAGACUGGAGCGCUUGGAACACCUGGCUGAGAAGUUCAGGCAGAAGGCCUCAACGCACGAGACUUGGGCUUAUGGCAAAGAGCAGAUCUUGCUGCAGAAGGAUUACGAGUCGGCGUCGCUGACAGAGGUGCGGGCUCUGCUGCGGAAGCACGAGGCGUUCGAGAGCGACCUGGCAGCGCACCAGGACCGCGUGGAGCAGAUCGCAGCCAUCGCGCAGG